rnacentral:rRNA from 1 species
UACGUAGGCAGCAAGCGUUGUUCGGAAUUACUGGGCGUAAAGAGUGUGUAGGCGGUGCUCCAAGUCUGGUGUGAAAUCUCCCGGCUCAACUGGGAGGGUGCGCUAGAAACUGGAAUGCUAGAGGAUGGGAGAGGUAAGCGGAAUUCCUGGUGUAGCGGUGAAAUGCGUAGAUAUCAGGAGGAACACCUGGGUGUAGACAGCUUACUGGACCAUUUCUGACGCUGAGACACGAAAGCGUGGGUAGCAAACAGG